rnacentral:rRNA from 1 species
GGUUAAGCGACUAAGCGUACACGGUGGAUGCCCUGGCAGUCAGAGGCGAUGAAGGGCGUGCUAAUCUGCGAUAAGCGCCGUAAGGUGAUAUGAACCGUUAUAACCGGCGAUACCCGAAUGGGGAAACCCAGUGUGAUUCGUCACACUAUCAUUAACUGAAUCCAUAGGUUAAUGAGGCGAACCGGGGGAACUGAAACAUCUAAGUACCCCGAGGAAAAGAAAUCAACCGAGAUUCCCCCAGUAGCGGCGAGCGAACGGGGAGGAGCCCAGAGCCUGAAUCAGCAUGUGUGUUAGUGGAAGCGUCUGGAAAGGCGCGCGAUACAGGGUGACAGCCCCGUACACAAAAGCGCAUGUGCUGUGAGCUCGAUGAGUAGGGCGGGACACGUGGUAUCCUGUCUGAAUAUGGGGGGACCAUCCUCCAAGGCUAAAUACUCCUGACUGACCGAUAGUGAACCAGUACCGUGAGGGAAAGGCGAAAAGAACCCCGGCGAGGGGAGUGAAAAAGAACCUGAAACCGUGUACGUACAAGCAGUGGGAGCACAGGUUUACCUGUGUGACUGCGUACCUUUUGUAUAAUGGGUCAGCGACUUAUAUUCUGUAGCAAGGUUAACCGAAUAGGGGAGCCGGAGGGAAACCGAGUCUUAAUUGGGCGUUAAGUUGCAGGGUAUAGACCCGAAACCCGGUGAUCUAGCCAUGGGCAGGUUGAAGGUUGGGUAACACUAACUGGAGGACCGAACCGACUAAUGUUGAAAAAUUAGCGGAUGACCUGUGGCUGGGGGUGAAAGGCCAAUCAAACCGGGAGAUAGCUGGUUCUCCCCGAAAGCUAUUUAGGUAGCGCCUCGUGAAUUCAUCUCCGGGGGUAGAGCACUGUUUCGGCUAGGGGGCCAUCCCGGCUUACCAACCCGAUGCAAACUGCGAAUACCGGAGAAUGUUAUCACGGGAGACACACGGCGGGUGCUAACGUCCGUCGUGAAGGGAAACAACCCAGACCGCCAGCUAAGGUCCCAAAGUCAUGGUUAAGUGGGAAACGAUGUGGGAAGGCCCAGACAGCCAGGAUGUUGGCUUAGAAGCAGCCAUCAUUUAAAGAAAGCGUAAUAGCUCACUGGUCGAGUCGGCCUGCGCGGAAGAUGUAACGGGGCUAAACCAUGCACCGAAGCUGCGGCAGCGACGCUUAUGCGUUGUUGGGUAGGGGAGCGUUCUGUAAGCCUGUGAAGGUGGCCUGUGAGGGUUGCUGGAGGUAUCAGAAGUGCGAAUGCUGACAUAAGUAACGAUAAAGCGGGUGAAAAGCCCGCUCGCCGGAAGACCAAGGGUUCCUGUCCAACGUUAAUCGGGGCAGGGUGAGUCGACCCCUAAGGCGAGGCCGAAAGGCGUAGUCGAUGGGAAACGGGUUAAUAUUCCCGUACUUGGUGUUACUGCGAAGGGGGGACGGAGAAGGCUAUGUUGGCCGGGCGACGGUUGUCCCGGUUUAAGCGUGUAGGUGUGUGUUCCAGGUAAAUCCGGUUCACUUUAACACUGAGGCGUGAUGACGAGGCACUACGGUGCUGAAGUAACAAAUGCCCUGCUUCCAGGAAAAGCCUCUAAGCAUCAGGUAACAUCAAAUCGUACCCCAAACCGACACAGGUGGUCAGGUAGAGAAUACCAAGGCGCUUGAGAGAACUCGGGUGAAGGAACUAGGCAAAAUGGUGCCGUAACUUCGGGAGAAGGCACGCUGACACGUAGGUGAAGUGAUUUACUCAUGGAGCUGAAGUCAGUCGAAGAUACCAGCUGGCUGCAACUGUUUAUUAAAAACACAGCACUGUGCAAACACGAAAGUGGACGUAUACGGUGUGACGCCUGCCCGGUGCCGGAAGGUUAAUUGAUGGGGUCAGCGCAAGCGAAGCUCCUGAUCGAAGCCCCGGUAAACGGCGGCCGUAACUAUAACGGUCCUAAGGUAGCGAAAUUCCUUGUCGGGUAAGUUCCGACCUGCACGAAUGGCGUAAUGAUGGCCAGGCUGUCUCCACCCGAGACUCAGUGAAAUUGAACUCGCUGUGAAGAUGCAGUGUACCCGCGGCAAGACGGAAAGACCCCGUGAACCUUUACUAUAGCUUGACACUGAACAUUGAGCCUUGAUGUGUAGGAUAGGUGGGAGGCUUUGAAGCGUGGACGCCAGUCUGCGUGGAGCCGACCUUGAAAUACCACCCUUUAAUGUUUGAUGUUCUAACGUGGACCCGUGAUCCGGGUUGCGGACAGUGUCUGGUGGGUAGUUUGACUGGGGCGGUCUCCUCCUAAAGAGUAACGGAGGAGCACGAAGGUUGGCUAAUCCUGGUCGGACAUCAGGAGGUUAGUGCAAUGGCAUAAGCCAGCUUGACUGCGAGCGUGACGGCGCGAGCAGGUGCGAAAGCAGGUCAUAGUGAUCCGGUGGUUCUGAAUGGAAGGGCCAUCGCUCAACGGAUAAAAGGUACUCCGGGGAUAACAGGCUGAUACCGCCCAAGAGUUCAUAUCGACGGCGGUGUUUGGCACCUCGAUGUCGGCUCAUCACAUCCUGGGGCUGAAGUAGGUCCCAAGGGUAUGGCUGUUCGCCAUUUAAAGUGGUACGCGAGCUGGGUUUAGAACGUCGUGAGACAGUUCGGUCCCUAUCUGCCGUGGGCGCUGGAGAACUGAGGGGGCUGCUCCUAGUACGAGAGGACCGGAGUGGACGCAUCACUGGUGUUCGGGUUGUCAUGCCAAUGGCACUGCCCGGUAGCUAAAUGCGGAAGAGAUAAGUGCUGAAAGCAUCUAAGCACGAAACUUGCCCCGAGAUGAGUUCUCCCUGAGACUUAGAGUCUCCUGAAGGAACGUUGAAGACGACGACGUUGAUAGGCCGGGUGUGUAAGCGCAGCGAUGCGUUGAGCUAACCGGUACUAAUGAACCGUGAGGCUUAACCUU